AAACUGAAUUCAUACCUGGGAAAUAAAAACUGUUUCAAAUACAGUAACUAAUUGAGGGCUGCAGGUUUUGAUGGGAAAGGAAGGUGGUGGUAAUUCGUGCUUGCAGAAUCAGCUGUGCUGGAGGAGGGGUUAACACCUUUGUAAUUGUGGCAGCUGUGUAGCCAAUUCCUGUUAGUUGGGUUUUUUUGUUGUCAUCAAGAAGGUUUAAAUUGUGCCUGCUGAACUGAAGAGGUCUUUUAGGUGGCUGCCUGGAAGAAAUCCAUUUAGACAUGUCCUAGCUCUACUUCUUCUUUGUUGUUUAAGAACAAUACAUCAGAUAAAUUGAAACACGGAGCUGCAGUCACCAUGAAAGAAAAAAUUAGUGUUUUAGAAACAGCUCUGCGAAUGCUCAGAAAGAUGGCAAGACACUGUGACCUAAAGUGAGAUCACCUGCUGGCUGACACCUUUAGCCUGGUUUAGAAAGAGGGUUCCUGUCAACACUGCUCUUAGGUGUGUGUGUAAGACUCACAUAGAUGCAAAUCUACUGAA